rnacentral:Y_RNA from 1 species
GGCUGGUCCGAAGGUAGGGAGUUAUCUCACGUGAUUGUUCACAGUCAGUUACAGAUUGAACUCCUUGUUCUACUACUUUCCCCCCUCCUCACUACUGCACUUGACUGGUCUUAA